UAGAACAAUUUAUCGGAGCAUUCAAGUGUUACCUAUUAUAAGCUGCCAAAAGACAACGCAGUGCGAAGCUCUUGGCUCACAGUGGUGCUUGCUACUUUCCACUGCAAGGAUUUCGUGAACGAAUGUUAUCAUAGAUUACGCGCGACUCCAGAGGCAAUUUGGAAUCUCGGCACGAAAUCGUCUGAUGAAAAUCUAAAGUGCCCGACGCACAACAUUUUGAACGUGCCACGGAGGAUCGAGGCAAAAAACGAGGGCAAAAAAGGUGCACGCUGAAGGCGGAAAUGAAGCAGGAUCUGGCUUGCAUCUGGUGCAUGAAGAAAUUGCUGACACGUUAGUUGCAGCCUACCUCCCCCAACAGAAACGGCAAUGUUAUGUUAUAAUUUCAGUAUUCACCUAUGUUCAACUUUUCAUGUGCGCUCGCAUGCGGACAUCUUGACACCACUUUUAAAUCUGCCCUCAAAGUUACAACCUGUGCUUUCAGGGUGGAAAACAAAGGUCGCCAUUCCGAUUAGCUGCCCAGUUCAAGCACUUUUGCUGUCUGGACACUGGUUCCUGUGGAUGGGGUGUUACAAGCUUCACUCUCUGAUAUAGAAGUGAUGAGCAACCAUAAACACAUGCCAGAAAGGGAGUCUCUUUGGGAUGACAAACCCUCAUCACCUCAUGAGGAUACAAUGGUUGACGAUUGCUGACAAUGGUUGUUGGUUCAUGUUCUCAAGCACAUCGAAACUUCAACAAAUAAUUCAUGAAAUAAGCCAUACUGAAACACAGGCAGCCAAGGACAGACUUUUAUGCCCUCGAGAAACUUAGCAACACAUUGCAGGGACUCUGGAUGCUGCCUAAAUUUCCAGAACACAGGGCUCAAGCCAGCGGUUAAACAACAACUGGUUAGAGAAAUCCAAGACAGUUGCAUGUGUAAGCAGUCCGCUGUUGGAUUUGCUUCUGUCCGAGAUACGUUAUCUCAAAGGGGAUGCACGGGCGCACUCAGAAUGAUACUAGGGCUGCCUGUGAAAUAGAAUGAGGAGAAGGGGAGAUAUAUAACCCUUUUUUCUUGUCUAUUAUUCUAUUGGUUAAAUUGUCAUUUGCUUAGCAGCAUAUAUGUGUAUAUUCCACAGUCUGCUAAUAAAUAUAUCAGUUGAGAGCUAGCAGUCGCAUUGUAGAUGUCUCAUCCUGUCCUUGGCUGCUUGUGUUUCACUACGGCCAUGCUUGCUAUUGCAAAAACAGAAAACAAAAAAAAAGACCAUAGCAAAACACGAAAAGAGUGACCUAAAAAGCUGCCUGUUCUAGUGCUCACAUGGAGGCAAUGCAAUGAGGUAACUUGUCCCAUUCAUGAACUGUGCAUAGUAGUACAUAUUGCAAUGGCAACCGAUUAUUCAGAUUUUUCUUCAAGUACUUUGUUUUUUUUAGCUUUGUUUGCACAGUCUACUAUUGGAGCUUUAUGUGAUUCCCCUCUUGAGAUACUUUAAGAUUGCUGAUGCUGUGCAGUUUGUAAUUGUGAAACUGUACUGUGCUGAGGUACAAAAAGAGAAUUGUCAUAUCUGCAUUUGAGUACAUAGGAACAAUUUGUAAUACUUUCCUUGUUGGCAUUAAUAUUUGUACCAGGUCACAACAUUGUUGAUUGAUGGAAAAUGUAAAUAAAUAUAUUUAUUUGCUUGCCCAACAGUA